UACGUAGGUGGCAAGCGUUAUCCGGAUUUAUUGGGCGUAAAGGGAACGCAGGCGGUCUUUUAAGUCUGAUGUGAAAGCCUUCGGCUUAACCGGAGUAGUGCAUUGGAAACUGGGAGACUUGAGUGCAGAAGAGGAGAGUGGAACUCCAUGUGUAGCGGUGAAAUGCGUAGAUAUCAGGAGGAACACCGGUGGCGAAGGCGGCCUGCUGGACUGCAACUGACGUUGAGGCCCGAAAGCGUGGGGAGCAAACAGG
rnacentral:rRNA from 1 species